rnacentral:misc_RNA from 1 species
CUGAGGUACCUUGCCUUCAAGUGACC